rnacentral:siRNA from 1 species
CUAUAAUUGCAACUGCCU